GAUGAAGAACGUAGCGAAAUGCGAUAAGUAAUGUGAAUUGCAGAAUUCAGUGAAUCAUCGAAUCUUUGAACGCACAUUGCGCCCGCCAGUAUUCUGGCGGGCAUGCCUGUCCGAGCGUCAUUUCAACCCUCGAACCCCUCCGGGGGGUCGGCGUUGGGGAUCGGCCCUUUCACCGGGUGCCGGCCCCUAAAUACAGUGGCGGUCUCGCCGCAGCCUCUCAUGCGCAGUAGUUUGCACACUCGCACCGGGGGCGCGGCGCGUCCACGUCCGUAAAACACCCCAACUUCUGAAAUGUUGACCUCGGAUCAGGUAGGAAUACCCGCUGAACUUAAGCAUAUCAAUAAGCGGAGGA
rnacentral:misc_RNA from 1 species